rnacentral:lncRNA from 1 species
GGACUGUGAAAUUGGAAUAAAUUCUCUAAUUUGGCAUUAAAAUUAGAAUGAUCUUAUCAAAGGGAACAUGUAUACUAAGUUUCAAGUUGAUUGGACUUCUACUUUAUCAAAAACUACCUUGACCAAAAACUUUAACCUGAAAUUUGCACUAUCAUUUUCUAUGUUUCAGUGAACCGUAAAAUUGGGGUCAAAACUCUAAUUUGGCAUUUAAAUUAGAAAGAUCAUAUCAUAGGGCACAUGUAUACUAAGUUUCAGUUGAUUGGACUUCAACUUCAUCAAAAACUACCUUGACCAAAAACUUUAACCUGAAGCCAAAAACUUUAACCUGACAUUUGCACUAUCAUUUUCUAUGUUCAGUGAACCGUAAAAUUGGGGUCAAAACUCUAAUUUGGCAUUUAAAUUAGAAAGAUCAUAUCAUAGGGCACAUGUAUACUAAGUUUCAAGUUGAUUGGACUUCAACUUCAUCAAAAACUACCUUGACCAAAAACUUUAACCUGAAGCCAAAAACUUUAACCUGAAAUUUGCACUAUCAUUUUCUAUCAGUGAACCGUAAAAUUGGGGUCAAAACUCUAAUUUGGCAUUAAAAUUAGAAAGAUCAUAUCAUAGGGAACAUGUGUACCAAGUUUGAAGUCGAUUGGACUUCAAUUUCAUCAAAAACUACCUCGACCAAAAACUUUAACCUGAAGCGGGACAGACGGACGAACGAACGGACGAACGAACGGACGAACGGACGCACAGACCAGAAAACAUAAUGCCCCUCUACUAUCGUAGGUGGGGCAUAAAAAUCAGCCCAAUAUCUGUAGGCAUUUAGAAAAAAAGUCUGUAUAACUGUGAUUUUCAACAAUUUAUCAAAGUCCAAAGCCCGUAAUUUCGACAAAAAUUAGCGGAGUGGAACGAUACGUAAACUUGAUCUGUUACACAUCAUGGUUAACUUACAUACCAAAAAUCAGCCCAAUAUCUGAAGGCGUUUAGAAAAAAACUCCGUAUAAUGGUUUGUUGCGGAAUGAGGGAAUGACGGAAUUUCAGAAUUACGGAAUUACGGAAUAACGGAAUUAUGGAAUUAUGGAAUAAAAAUUAAAAUGAUUUAAACCCGCGAGCCCCUUAAUUGGAAAAUAAAGAAAUUUGAACUUUGAACUUUAUUAGUCUCCUAAGGCUGUAAGAAGUCACAUCUUAAACUUACAACUUAAGCAGACAUUGUGGAUUUAUUAGAUUCAGACAAAGAAAGUUUCUCUGCCUUUUCUGCACCCUCUGUACCAGCAGGUGAGAAGAUGUUGAUAAAAAAA